GUGAUAUCAAAAUUGGCAGUUACAGUCUUGUCCCAUCGCUGGGGAGAGGCCAAGGUCGAGAACACGCGUCCUCCGAAACACAACCCUGCCGAGCCAAACUGCUUCCUGAUACACUGCUCGCUUAACCCCCGGAAACCAGCUGCACCAACGUGUCGGAGGCCACACCAUCCGGCUGGCGACCAAAGUCAGCUUGCACGGGGUCGAGCCCGCCACCAGGAGUCGCUAGAGCACGAUGGGACAAGGAAAUCCUAGCUGGCCAAACCCGGGCAGACGCUGGACAAAUUGUGCACCGCCUCAUGAGUCUCCAGUUCACAGCCUGGGAUCGAACCCGCGUCUGUAGUGACACCUCAAGCACUGUGAUGCAGUGCCCUAUACAACGUGACAUCCCAGUAACUUAGAGAGAGAGAAAAAACACUUUAGAUCGGCGUUGUUCCUGUGGAAAUUCAAGAUGGUCAGGGAGGCAGGUAACCUAGUGGAUAGAGUGUAGAGGAGGCAGGUAGCCUGGUGGUUAGAGUGUAGGGGAGGCAGGUAACCUAGUGGAUAGAGUGUAGAGGAGGCAGGUAGCCUGGUGGAUAGAGUGUAGGGGAGGCAGGUAGCCUAGUGGUUAGAGUGUAGAGGAGGCAGGGUAGCCUAGUGGUUAGAGUGUAGGGGCGGCAGGGUAGCCUAGUGGUUAGAGUGUUGGACCAGUAACCGAAAGAUUGCUGGAUCAAAUCCCCUGAACUGACAAGGUAAAAAUCUACCCCUGAACAAGGCAGUUAACCCACUGUUUCCAAGCCGUCAUUGUAAAUGAGAAUUUGUUCUUCACGGACUUGCCUAGUUAAAUAUGAAAUAUUCAUGAGAUCUCUAAACAGCAACAAGACAGUGUCAUCAACCAAUGAAUGGAAACUUUCAGGUCUAAUGUUUUUAGUUUUUAGCUAGUGAAAAAUAUGACUUAACUUCACCGACAUUUAGUUGCAAAUAUUUAUUGUGCAUUGGGGAAUAUGCUAAUUAGCUAACAUUAAUGUUAUCAUUCCUCAACAACUCUUCCUCUCUGACAACAGUCAGCUACCAAAGCGACAAUAGCUACUUCAUCUGGAAAAAAUAAUAUUGACAAGUCAAAAAAAUGACAACCUAUAUUUAGCUAUUAAAACGACUGACUUAACUUGCCAAGAAGUUGCAGUUGGUUCUCACUUCUCUUCUCAAUGAAUGUGAAAUACCUUCUUAUAGGAAGUCAGGUGGUUGAUGAUAACAACCCAUAUCAAAUAUUCAAAGAGGUAUUCAAAUAAGGGUAUCCACCAAUCCAAAACAAGGACUAGGCAGAAAGUUCACAUUGUUAGGAUAGAGACUAGAUCAUAUUGUCAUUAUAUAGAGUAACUCUGACUAAAUAUGGCUGGGUUUAUAUCUGGUGGGUACUGGGUAGUAAAUGGCUGUGUGAGGCUUUAUCCUAAACCAUUCCAGAGUUUGUGGACAAUGAUCCACAUUGUUAGGAUAGAGACUAGACCAUCUUGUCAUUAUAUAGAGUAUCUCUGACUAAAUAUGGCUGAGUUUAUAUCUGGUGGGUACUGGGUAGUAAAUGGCUGUGUGAGCCUUUAUCCUAAACCAAGAGUGACACCUGGUGGUUACUAUAUGCAUUACAUGCAGGUUUCUCGUAAAGCAAAACCAAUGAAAGCAAAUACUGCAAUCCAGCCACAUAUAUGUUUAGUUGUCAAAAAACAGAUGAAAGACACUGUAGACACAUCUAUAUUUUUUAAAUACAACUUUUUUGUUGUUGUUGUUACAAUUACACAAACAUUUGUGGCAUUCUUCAAUUAUAUAAAAAAUAAAAAUCAACAGCACACAACCAAUGGCUCAAAUUAAAAGUUUUAAAACAUUUGUACCCAAAGUAGUAUAUCCCCAAUACUGUCCUUUACAUCCAUUUGACUAUGCUGGUUUUUACACGAUCAAUUGAUCAUCUCUGAGUUAUUGAUCAAUGCGCUCAAAUCAAUGGAAGUGGAAAUAAACUAUUGUGUAGCAGUGAAGUGGAUGUGUCAACCAGCAUUCGGUUCAACUCAACAACGUCAUGUCAUCGGCCUGGGAGACAUCUAUCAGUUUGUGCCGUCAUUGACAAUGACAGCAAUGGAGUUGGCAAGACAACACAAACAGAUCUGGGACCCGCCUGGUGGUCUUUUCAACCAGUUUGGCUCACCGGGAGGGCUGACGAGUCAUUACACAGGCCAGACAGAAUUCAUUACUGCAAUGAUACGGAUAAUGACAAGUAUAGGGACUAGGAGAGUACAGGGACUAGGAGAGUACAGGGACUAGGAGAGUACAGGGACUAGGAGAGUACAGGGACUAGGAGAGUACAGGGACUAGGAGAGUACAGGGACUAGGAGAGUAUAGGGACUAGGAGAGUAUAGGGACUAGGAGAGUACAGGGACUAGGAGAGUACAGGGACUAGGAGAGUACAGGGACUAGGAGAGUACAGGGACUAGGAGAGUACAGGAAAGAAACAGGGACUAGGAGAGUACAGGGACUAGGAGAGUAUAGGGACUAGGAGAGUACAGGGACUAGGAGAGUACAAGGACUAGGAGAGUAUAGGGACUAGGAGAGUACAGGAAAGAAACAGGGACUAGGAGAGUACAGGGACUAGGAGAGUAUAGGGACUAGGAGAGUACAGGGACUAGGAGAGUACAGGAAAGAAACAGGGACUAGGAGAGUACAGGGACUAGGAGAGUACAGGGACUAGGAGAGUACAGGGACUAGGAGAGUACAGGGACUAGGAGAGUAUAGGGACUAGGAGAGUAUAGGGACUAGGAGAGUACAGGAAAGAAACAGGGACUAGGAAAAUACAGGAAAGUACAGGGACUAGGAAAGUACAGGGACUAGGAAAGUACAGGAAAGUACAGGGACUAGGAGAGUACAGGGACUAGGAGAGUACAGGAAAGUACAGGGACUAGGAAAAUACAGGAAAGUACAGGGACUAGGAAAGUACAGGGACUAGGAGAGUACAGGGACUAGGAGAGUACAGGAACUAGGAAAGUACAGGAAAGUACAGGGACUAGGAGAGUAAAGGAACUAGGAAAGUACAGGAAAAUACAGGAACUAGGAAGGUAUAGUGACUUGGAGAGUACAGGAACUAGAAAAGUACAGGAAAGUAUAGGAACUAGGAAAGUACAGGAAAGUACAGGGACUAGGAGAGUACAGGGACUAGGAGAGUACAGGUAAGUACAGGGACUAGGAGAGUACAGGGACUAGGAAAGUACAGGAACUAGGAAAGUACAGGAAAGUACAGGGACUAGGAAAGUACAGGGACUAGGAAAGUACAGGGACUAGGAAAGUACAGGAAAGUACAGGGACUAGGAAAGUACAGGGACUAGGAAAAUACAGGAGAGUACAGGGACAAGGAGAGUACAGGGACUAGGAGAGUACAGGGACUAGGAGAGUAUAGGGACUAGGAGAGUACAGGAAAGAAACAGGGACUAGGAAAAUACAGGAAAGUACAGGGACUAGGAAAGUACAGGGACUAGGAAAGUACAGGAAAGUACAGGGACUAGGAGAGUACAGGAAAGUACAGGGACUAGGAGUACAGGGACUAGGAAAGUACAGGAAAGUACAGGGACUAGGAAAAUACAGGAAAGUACAGGGACUAGGAAAGUACAGGGACUAGGAAAGUACAGGGACUAGGAGAGUACAGGGACUAGGAGAGUACAGGAACUAGGAAAGUACAGGAAAGUACAGGGACUAGGAGAGUAAAGGAACUAGGAAAGUACAGGAAAAUACAGGAACUAGGAAGGUAUAGUGACUAGGAGAGUACAGGGACUAGAAAAGUACAGGAAAGUAUAGGAACUAGGAAAGUACAGGAAAGUACAGGGACUAGGAGAGUACAGGGACUAGGAGAGUACAGGUAAGUACAGGGACUAGGAGAGUACAGGGACUAGGAAAGUACAGGAACUAGGAAAGUACAGGGACUAGGAAAGUACAGGGACUAGGAAAGUACAGGGACUAGGAAAGUACAGGAAAGUACAGGGACUAGGAAAGUACAGGGACUAGGAAAAUACAGGAGAGUACAGGGACAAGGAGAGUACAGGGACUAGGAGAGUACAGGGACUAGGAGAGUACAGGAAAGUACAGGGACUAGGAGAGUACAGGGACUAGGAAAGUACAGGAAAGUACAGGGACUAGGAAAAUACAGGAACUAGGAAAGUAUAGGGACUAGGAGAGUACAGGAAAGUACAGGGACAAGGAAAGUACAGGGACUAGGAGAGUACAGGGACUAGGAGAGUACAGGAAAGUAGAGGGACUAGGAGAGUACAGGACAAUACAGGGACUAGGAAAGUACAGGGACUAGGAAAGUACAGGGACUAGGAAAGUACAGGGACUAGGAAAGUAUAGGGACUAGGAAAAUACAGGGACUAGGAGAGUACAGGGACUAGAAGAGUACAGGAAAGUACAGGGACUAGGAAAGUACAGGAAAGUACAGGAAAGUACAGGGACUAGGAAAGUACAGGAAAGUACAGGGACUAGGAAAGUACAGGGACUAGGAGAGUAUAGGGACUAGGAGAGUACAGGGACUAGGAGAGUACAGGGACUAGGAGAGUAUAGGGACUAGGAAAAUACAGGGAAGUACAGGGACUAGGAAAGUAUAGGGACUAGGAGAGUAUAGGGACUAGGAGAGUAUAGGGACUAGGAGAGUACAGGGACUAGGAGAGUAUAGGGACUAGGAAAAUAAAAACCAACCAACUAACUACUUUAGACCAGAGUCCUAUGGCACCCUAUUCCCUAUAUAGUACACUACUUUAGACCAGAGCCCUAUGGCACCCUAUUCCCUAUAUAGUGCACUACUUUAGACCAGAGCCCUAUGGAACCCUAUUUCCUAUAUAGUGCACUACUUUAGACCAGAGCCCUAUGGUACCCUAUUCCCUAUAUAGUGCACUACUUUAGACCAGAGACCUAUGGUACCCUGUUCCCUAUAUAGUGCACUACUUUAGACCAGAGCCCUGUUCCCUAUAUAGUGCACUACUUUAGACCAGAGCCCUAUGGCACCCAAUUCCCUAUAUAGUGCACUACUUUAGACCAGAGCCCUAUGACACCCUAUUCCCUAUAUAGUGCACUACUUUAGACCAGGACGCAUAGGGAUCAGGUCUAAAGUAGUGUGCCCUAUAUACAGUAGAGACCUGGAAGCCAGUUCCACUGCUUUUCUCCCAUAAUUCCACCUCUAACCUGGGACACCAGGUGGGGGCAAUUAUUAUCAGGUAGAACAGAAAACCUGCAGGAAUCAGGACCUCGUAGGGUCAGAGUUGAAUACCUCUGAAAACACACACACACACACACACACACACACAUACAUAUAUAUAUAUAUAUAUAUAUA
ensembl:lncRNA